GAUAAACAUCUUUCUUGAACAGGACAGCAGAUAGAAAAGUGCAAGUGCUUCUGUGCAAGGUGGCGAUAAUAAAUAUACAUGCAAUUCAUCCAAUAAGCGUUUUAGUUAGUCCAUAAAAUCCAAAGUUCCAAUAGUCCAUAAAAUCCAAAGUUCCAAUACUCAGCAUAUUGAGCGGUCAACAAAAACUGUGCUCUCCCUACUCACCCCCUCGCCAUACUACCACAGGUGCCCAGGUGCAUAUAUUCAUUCACCAAUUCCUAUGCCAAUACCCACGUGACUUGCAUACACACCCACCAGAUACCAAAAUAAAAGCACCAAAGCACAGACCAAUUCAAUCAUGGCAUAUGGCCGCUAUACACACCACACAUGUUCCAUCCACACACCACACAUGUUCCAUCCACACACACACACACACACACACACACACACACACACACACCACACAUGUUCCAUCCACACACACCACACAUGUUCCAUCCACACACACCACACAUGUUCCUCUUACACACACACCACACAUGUUCCAUCCACACACACACACACACACACACACCACACAUGUUCCUCUUACACACACACCACACAUGUUCCAUCCACACACACACACACACACACACACACACACACACACACCACACAUGUUCCAUCCACACACACCACACAUGUUCCAUCCACACACACACACACACCACACAUGUUCCUCUUACGCACACACACCACACAUGUUCCAUCCACACACACCACACAUGUUCCAUCCACACACACCACACAUGUUCCUCUUACACACACACAUGUUCCAUCCACACACACCACACAUGUUCCAUCUGCACACACACACACACAUGUUCCAUCUGCACACACACACACACAUGUUCCUUUUACACACACCACACGUUCCAUCCACACACACACACACAUGUUCCAUCCACAUACACCACACAUGUUCCUCUUACACACACCACACAUGUUCCAUCCACACACACCACACAUGUUGUUCCUCUUACACACACACACACAUGUUCCAUCCACGCACACCACACAUGUUCCAUCCACACACACACCACACACACACACCACACAUGUUCCUCUUACACACACACACAUGUUCCAUCCACACACACACACACACACACACCACACAUGUUCCAUCCACACACACACACCACACAUGUUCCUCUUACACACACCACACAUGUUCCAUCCACACACACACCACACAUGUUCCAUCCACACACACACACACACACACAUGUUCCAUCAACACACACACACACAUGUUCCAUCCACACACACCACACAUGUUCCUCUUACACACACACCACACAUGUUCCAUCCACACACACACAUGUUCCAUCCACACACACCACAAAGGUUCUCCUCUCCCACACACACACACACACACACACACACACACACACUGUGUAAUCAUUGGCCUCUGCAUGCCCCCCCCCCCCCCGCCCUGUACCCUUUGACCCCC
rnacentral:lncRNA from 1 species